GUGUCAGCCGCCGCGGUAAUACGUAGGGGGCAAGCGUUGUCCGGAUUUAUUGGGCGUAAAGAGCUCGUAGGCGGUUCCGUAAGUCGAGUGUGAAAAAUCUGGGCUCAACCCAGUGGAGCACUCGAUACUGCGGUGACUAGAGUACGGUAGAGGAGUGUGGAAUUUGUAGUGUAGCGGUGAAAUGCGCAGAUAUUACAAGGAACACCAACGGCGAAGGCAGCACUCUGGGCCGGUACUGACGCUGAGGAGCGAAAGCGUGGGUAGCAAACAGGAUUAGAUACCCUGGUAGUCCACGCCGUAAACGUUGGGCACUAGGUGUGGGAAGGAAUCAACCCUUUCCGUGCCCGUAGCUAACGCAUUAAGUGCCCCGCCUGGGGAGUACGGCCGCAAGGCUAAAACUCAAAUGAAUUGACGGG
rnacentral:rRNA from 1 species